UUUAAUUGAAGAGUUUGAUCAUGGCUCAGAUUGAACGCUGGCGGCAGGCCUAACACAUGCAAGUCGAGCGGUAACAUUUCUAGCUUGCUAGAAGAUGACGAGCGGCGGACGGGUGA
rnacentral:rRNA from 1 species